UCUCCUCCAGCCUCCAAUCCAAACAUCCAAUAGCUGCGCAACACAAUUUUACUUUUUCUCCUGUGCAAUGGCAGCCGAAGUAACACAAUCCAAACAUGACGAACCUUCUCCUCGUGCACUGGCUUAACAACUUUAUCUGUCUUUAUUCUCUGCACACACUUGGAUCUCGGUCGCUUGUGUGACUUUGCAUGCAGGGAUGGCCGCAGCUAGGCUGGACUACGUUGCACCAUGGUGGACAUAUUGGCUGCACAAUUUCCCCCACUUCAACUUCUUGUUCAAGCCGGUGGACAACACUUUUAGACCGGAGCAGGAUGACUAUCAGCAGUCUGUGGUGGUUCUAGCUUGCGGAGGAGCAGUGGGCCUUGGCGUGAGUCUCCUUGCCUUGACCAUCUACCUGGUGUUCCUUUGCGGCUGCCGUAAGGAUGUGGACGAGGACACCAAAAGGCCGGAAAGGACCUGCUGUGUGACCUGGGCGGCUGUCGUCACGGGUCUCAUCAUAUGUUCAGCUGUAGCAGUGGGUUUCUAUGGAAACAGCGAGACCAACGAUGGUGUGUACCAGUUGACCUACUCGCUCUACAACGCCAAUCGCACAUUGGCCAGCAUCAACAGCCUGGCUGCGGGCUCUUUGGGCAAUGUGGAAACAGGAGUCAGGCAGCACCUGGAACGUCUGGAUGAGAUUUUCGCCGGGAGGCCCGACUACCUGCAGGCUCUACGCUUCAUGCAGCUGAUGGUCACCAAUGUCAUUCGAGAGAUGACCGCCCUGCCUGACAUCAGCAAAAGCAACGUGGCCCUGGCGGCCAUGGCUGACCAGACGGCCUCCAUUGAGUAUUACAGAUGGCUGACCUACCUGCUCCUGUUGAUCCUGGAUCUGCUCAUAUGUUUGGCCCUGUGCUUGGGGAUGGCCAAGCAGUCUCGUUGGCUGCUCAUCAUGAUAAUGGUCUUUGUGGUGCUGUCGCUGAUCCUGAGCUGGGCCUCGCUGGGAGGCAGCACUGCCACAGCAGUGGGCAUCAGCGACUUCUGCGUGUCUCCUGACAAGUUUAUUGUCAACCAAACCAAAGAUUUCCUCACUGCAGAUGUUGCACAUUAUUAUUUGUUCUGCAGCCCGAAUCUACCCAACCCUUUCCAACAGUCUUUGACAAUCUGCCAGCGCUCCGUGACCACCAUGCAGAUCCAGAUCCAGGGCCUGCUGCAGUUUUCCGUGCCGGUCUUCCCCACUGCUGAGAGAGACCUUCUAGGCAUCCAGCGCCUGUUGAACGCCAGCGAGUUUAAUCUACACCAGUUGACAGCCUUGCUUGAUUGUCGCGGGCUGCACAAGGACUACCUGGACGCCCUAAUGGGUGUGUGCUAUGACGGUGUAGAAGGUCUCCUCUACCUGGCUUUGUUCUCUCUGCUGGCCGCAUGUGCACUUUCCGUCAUGCUGUGUGCUAUUUUCCGAGUAUGGACACUAAUGGGCAGCAGAGAUAAAGAGUAUGAUGACAUCGAUGAAGAGGACCCCUUCAACCCUCAAGCACAACGCAUGUCCUACAACCCGAGAGGGUCCAACGUUCACAGCUUCUGCAGCUACACCAGCAGUGUUGGGAGCCAGGCCAGCCUCCAUCCUCCUCCUCAGUCUGCAUCCAAUGUGCUUCCUCCACCAGAAUACAUGAAUCAGACUAUGCUGUUUGGAGGGAGCCCUCGAUACGAGAACGUUCCGUUGAUAGGCAGAGGAUCCCCGCCCCCCUCGGUGCGUUGGCCCUAUACAGCCCUCGUAUCUCAAGUGUGACCACGACACCACACCUGACCUUACUUGCACAACAAAAACACCCGCAUGGCAGCUCUUGUACACAUUGCACUCAAUAAUGGCACAAAAAGGAGCACCUAGGGGUUAAGUGGCGGUGCAAGUGGUUGAACACUGCCCUCUGCAGGCCAUUUGUUCUGUUGCGCCAAGCUGUAAUUUUCCCCAGUGGAUUAAAUUGCCUCUUACGGCAACGCAAUUAAUUAAACAGCUGCAUCAAAUCACACAUGAGCGCACAAGCCAGAAUUGUUCCCUGCUAGUAUCAUAUUUUAUUCUGGCAAUCAAUAAGUGUGUCACGUGUCUCCACAGCUAAAUAAUAGACAACACUAGUAAAUCCUCACUUUUUCUCCUUUUACGUGCCCUCUCUCUUUAUAAUGAAGCUUCUGUCGGACUGUGGGGGCGCAUGGGCUGCAUUAGUACAUUGGCAGACUUUAAAUGACUGGGGAAAAGAGUAGAAAGAGACAAUGUGACCACUGUUUAAAAAUGUAUAGCGUCCCUGUGAGAUGCAUUUGAACACGGCCCUUAAAGGCACCUAAAGCUCACCAUUCAUAUCCAGGAAUAAUGGGCCUUAUCAGUGUGGAAUAUCAAUGUGCUGUAUUGUGUGUGUUCGGAAAGGUUGUUUGCACAAUCGUAUCCUACCGGGGGAACCUCGAUCGAUUCUCAAAAUACGCAGCUCUCUGCAGUUGUACACAACUGUGCACAAAUGUGCACAAUAGUAAUAUUUUAUAUAUUAUAAAAUAAUAUUUAAUAUUGAUAAUAUUAUAUAUUGUCAAAUUUAUGUUUCAUAUUUCUGUGAAAAUAAUAAUAAAUUACACAAUUAAUAACAAAUAAUAUAAACAUAAUGCUAAAAUAUUUAGAUAUUAUUGUUUUAUUAGUUGCUUUUUUUUUAACAAUUAUUAAGUAAUAUAUAGUAAAUGAAUUAAAAGAAGAGAAGUGCUAUAUAAAUGCAUAUGCCGCUUAUCCUAAUUAGGGUUGCAGGGGUAUGCUGGAGCCUAUCCCAGCUGACUUCGGGCAAGAGGCGGGGUACGCCCUGGCCAAACAAUCAUUCACGCUCAAAUUCAUACCGUCGCCAAUUAACCUAACAUGCAUGUUUUUGGAAUGUGGGAGGAAACCGGAGUACCCGGAGAAAACCCACGCACACACGGGGAGAACAUGCAAACUCCACUCAGAAAUGCCCAACGGAGAUUCGAACCCAUUUCUUCCCGAUCUCCUGACUGUGUGGCCAACAUGCUAACCACUUGGCCACCGUGCGGCCCCAUUACAAUAAUAAAAUAUGGUAAAUAGUUGGGUAAUUUCUUUCUUUCUUUCUUAAUUUGAAGGUAUUUGCAUCAGGUUGAAUUAUCCCGGUGUACCUAAUGUUGUGGCCAGUAGAUUUACAUGCACAUGUAAGCAAAUCCCAAAUCCAAUCAAUGGAAUUUGAUGCUUUAUUAUUGGAACAUAUACAUGCACCGAAGAAAGAAUUAGAGGACACCCGGUGGGAUACAUUAUGGUGGUCAUUGUUUUAUAUUGUUUCUGUACUGUAUAUUUUUUUAUUGCCUGUUUGUGCUGUUUUUCUUUCACGAUUACAACAUGAAUGCUGACUAUGAACACAUGCAUGAAACUAACCGCUUAUUUUUUCUUUACAUUUUCGUAACUCAGACUUUUAAAAAUCGUAAGUUUUGAGUUGUUGUUGUUCCUUUUUGUCUUUUCAUUAUUCUUUGCAUCACGCAAUGCAAAGCGCUUGAGCCUGACCCCUUAAAAGCCUAAACGUGUGCAUGCCAAAUGUGUGUGAACUUUGACCUUCUGGCACAAUGUAGGAGCACACUAGCAUUACUCGCCCGGUAUGAGGACCACCUAUCUGUCUAUGACUGAGGCCCAGAUCAGACACUUUGGCACUGACUUCCAAGUGUAGCAGUAUGGACACAAAGACAAUGUGAAGACGUGUCUUCGUGGUUUUAAUCCUUUUUACUGAGCCUGCACUUUGCUGGCCACAUCAGGAAGUUACCUCAACACACACACACACACACACACACACACACACACACACACAGUCGUGCACUCUUCUCCAUGUAUGUAAGAUGUAUGUAUGAGAUAAAUGACAUUUUUUUAGCUUUUUGUCCUGUAGUCUUGUAGCCUGCAUGGUUCAAUGUGUAGCUCUGAUACGAGCAAUAAUCAGUCCCACAGUAUGUCUUGUUUUGGGGUUUUUUUGUGGGGGGGUGGGGUUACAUGUUCUAUAAUCCCCUAGGACUAACAGGACCACUUCACAAUCACAAUCUAAUGAGGUUCAGUGCAGAAAAAAAAGGCUAAAUCUUUAUCAAUAUCACAUAUUUACAACCACUCAAGGCUAACUCCUUUGGAACAGGGAUGGGAAAAAUAAUCAAUUAGGAAUUCUGCCAGUUGUGUUGAAUGAAUCACCUAUUGAGGCAAUUGAGUCAAAGUGGAGUGCACUACCUGGUUGCAACCAGUAGAGGCGCUGUGGAUUAGGUGGCAACUGGUUUGCUAUGUCUAACGAAGGACAAAAUGAAGUCUCGAGUAGGGGUAUGGUAAAGCGGGGACAAGCUAGGACUGUCACUAUGCAAUACUGGCUUCUACGUAUGUGCAGAACACGGCCUAUUUUACGGCAGUCACGUGUUAGGCAUGUGUAAUGUACGCCGUCCGUCCAUCUAUUUUAGCAAUAUACAGCAGCAAGUAUUGAAAUUUGAGAAAUUACAAGAUAAUUGAUCUUUUUUUUUUUCUUCUAUGGUAAACGGUCUUUCACUCGUAUGGCGCUUUUCCACCUCCAAGGCACUCAAAGUGCUUUGACACUGUUGGCACAUUUCCCUACUUAUGCAGCAUCAGGAACAACUGGGGGUUCUUUAUCUUGCCCAAGGACACUUGGACACGAUCAUGGGAGGUCGGAGGAUCUAACCCACAACCUUCAGGUUGGGAGGCGACCUCUCGACCACCUGAGCCAUGCCGCCCACAAUCAUAUAUCAUAUCAUAUACCAUAUCAUAUAUCAUAUCCAUGGUGCAAGUGGACAAUUUACAGGCCGAGUGGUGCCCCUGGUCUUGGGCAUGCCAUUUUUGUAUUGUUAUAAUUAAUUUACUGCUAAGACAAUGUUUUAAAAAAAACAAUAUUUUAUAUAUAUAUAUAUAUAUAUAAUAAAAUUAAAAAAUAUAAAAAAAUCACGCUGCUUAAUAUGAAUGGAUAUAAAAAUAGGUUUAUUUACUAAAAUCUAAUAAUAAUUUAAUUAUCUGUAAAAAAAAAAAUGUGUAUAACUUUCUUCAAUAUUUUCCAUUAUAUAACAUUAACCUAAAAUAAUGAAUUGAUUAAUUAGAAAUAUAAUUAUAAUAAAUUAAUUAAAAUAAAAAUAAUGAGAUAGUCAUUGUCCAUCCCUAUUAGUAUGGUUACUAAAUUUGUAAUUUAAUAUUUUAAACACUAUUUUGUGAUAAUAUCCUGGCAAAUAUAGCAACUAUUAUUUAGAAUUAUCCAUCCAAUCCAUUUCUAUGCCGCUUAUCCUCAUGAGGGUCGCGAGUAUGCUGGAGCCUAUCCCAGCUGCCUUCGGGCAAGAGGCAGGGUACACCCUGGACUGGUCGCCAGUCAAUCGCAGUAUUUAGAAUUAAUUAUGUUAAUUAAGAAUUCGAAUAAAUAAUUAUUAAUAUUGAAAAAGGUUGCUUUUUUGAGAUUAUUUGUAAAGUUGUGCAUGUAGCAUCACGAGAUGACCAUGAUGUUGCAUACUACAACCACAACCAAGCUCUUGUAACUGGAUCUCAUUAGAUUGUGCGAAUUGUAGCAGGUUAGAGUAUAAAUGGUGCUAAACACAAAAUAUUGCUCAGCACAUCACGCACAAGUAGAAAACCAUGCAAAAAAGAAAUAAAUGCUGUGAACCACCAAAGAUAACACUCAAUCAAAGCUGACAUAUGUGCUGAUGUUUCUGUUUAAGGUUUAAGCAUCUUUGUGUGUUGCCUCGUCUUCAUUCGUUUUGUUUGGUUGGCAUGUGCAGUAUUUUCCUGGACUGAAUAAGCACUGCAGAAUGUCGAUUAGCCGGCAUCAAUACCCGUGUGUCACAAUCGUAUUUCAUCAUUAAACUCUGUGGCACAAUCGCAUUAAAAUAUGCAAAAAAUGUUUUCUCAUGUCCCUGUCCCCUUGAAAAAUUGAUGAAUGCCUUUUUAUUGAAUUAUGUAUUAAAGUACGGUUUUGUUUGGAUAAUUUUUGCACUUUUUAUUGUGUGGUUUGUAUGAAAUUCAACAUGGCCAAAAAGGUACGAAGAAGAAGUAGAGCUUAUUAUAGCUGACACCUGGUAUCUGUUCACUUCAUGUGUUUUUAACGUGUUCUGAUGUUAUCCUGUUUUAUUAACAAAAGAAUAGAAUAAGAAUGUGUGUAACAGCAAAGUUAAUAGAGUUGCGUUGUAAUUGGAAUUCAGCCACAUUGGAGGGUUUUCCAGCAUGAAGCACCUUUUUAAGGUCAUGCCACAGCAUCUCCAUAGGAUUCAGGUCAGGACUUUGACCAGGCCACUUCAAAGUCUUCAUUUUAUUUUUCUUCAGCCAUUCAGAGGUGGGCUUGCUGGUGUAUUUUGGAUCAUUGUCCUGCUGCAGAACCCAAGUUGGUUUCAGCUUGAGGUCACAAACAGCUAGCCGGACAUUCUCCUUCAGGAUUUUUGGGUAGACAGCAGAAUUCAUGGUAGCAUUCAUCACAGCAAGUCUUCCAGGUCCUGAAGCAGCAAAGCAACCCCAGACCAUCACACUACCACCACCAUAUUUUACUGUUGGUAUGAUCAAUAUCUUACAGUAUGGUGGAGUCAUGAACACUGACCUUAACUGAGGCAUGUGAGGCCUGCAGUUCUUUGGAUGUUGUUGUUGGGGUAUUUGUGACCUCUCGGAUGAGUUGUCGCUGUGCCCCUGGUGUAAUUUUGGUUGGCCAGCCACUCCUGGGAACGUUCACCAAUGUUUGUGGAUAUCACUUUUACACAGGGCCAUGUAGAAUUGGAUUUUUUUCUUUCUCUUAAUAACAAAAAGUUUCAUUCAAAACUGUAUUUUGUGUUCAGUUUUGUUGUCAUUGACUAAUAUUUACAUUAGUUUGUUGAUGUGAAACAUUUGAAACAAGUGUGAAAACAUGCAAAAAAUAAUAAAUCAGGAAGGGGACAAA